GAGGCAUUGGAGCAUACUGGAGGCAAUGAGUCCACUCCGUUGAAUGUACUGCUAUGUGUGAAGGACGUACAUGUGGUGCCAACUACAAAUGAUAGGAAGAUGUAGAUAAUAGUUCCGAAAUGGCCAGAAGGGAAAGACAAUCAAGGAAAGACUCCGAAUAGCUCUUUAUUGAUUGACAAAUCAUACAAGUCUCACAUGACUCUCUAAAAUUGAUGGGCUAUGACCCAAGAAAUUAAAUCCUCCCAAGAGAAAUGAUGCAGCACCAUCCGCCUUAGAGAAGAUGGCAACCAACUGUCCUCAUAACAUCCCUGUGAGAGGUAGCUUGAGAGACGUGUAAGUAGGUGAGCAUCACACCAGAAAA
rnacentral:lncRNA from 1 species